UACGUAGGGUGCAAGCGUUGUCCGGAAUUAUUGGGCGUAAAGAGCUCGUAGGCGGUCUGUCGCGUCUGCUGUGAAAACUCGGGGCUUAACCCCGGGCCUGCAGUGGGUACGGGCAGACUAGAGUGCGGUAGGGGAGACUGGAAUUCCUGGUGUAGCGGUGAAAUGCGCAGAUAUCAGGAGGAACACCGGUGGCGAAGGCGGCAUCCUGGACCAAUAUUGACGCUGAGGAGCGAAAGCCAGGGGAGCAAACGGG
rnacentral:rRNA from 1 species